AACGAACGCUGGCGGCGUGCCUAAUACAUGCAAGUCGAGCGAAUGGAUUAAGAGCUUGCUCUUAUGAAGUUAGCGGCGGACGGGUGAGUAACACGUGGGUAACCUGCCCAUAAGACUGGGAUAACUCCGGGAAACCGGGGCUAAUACCGGAUAACAUUUUGAACCGCAUGGUUCGAAAUUGAAAGGCGGCUUCGGCUGUCACUUAUGGAUGGACCCGCGUCGCAUUAGCUAGUUGGUGAGGUAACGGCUCACCAAGGCAACGAUGCGUAGCCGACCCGAGAGGGUGAUCGGCCACACUGGGACUGAGACACGGCCCAGACUCCUACGGGAGGCAGCAGUAGGGAAUCUUCCGCAAUGGACGAAAGUCUGACGGAGCAACGCCGCGUGAGUGAUGAAGGCUUUCGGGUCGUAAAACUCUGUUGUUAGGGAAGAACAAGUGCUAGUUGAAUAAGCUGGCACCUUGACGGUACCUAACCAGAAAGCCACGGCUAACUACGUGCCAGCCGCCGCAGUAA
rnacentral:rRNA from 1 species